UACAGAGGUCUCAAGCGUUGUUCGGAUUCAUUGGGCGUAAAGGGCGCGUAGGCGGCCACGACAAGUCAGUUGUGAAAUCUCUGGGCUUAACUCAGAACGGUCAACUGAUACUGUCGGGCUAGAGUGCAGAAGGGGCAACUGGAAUUCUCGGUGUAGCGGUGAAAUGCGUAGAUAUCGAGAGGAACACCUGCGGCGAAGGCGGGUUGCUGGGCUGACACUGACGCUGAUGCGCGAAAGCUAGGGUAGCAAACGGG
rnacentral:rRNA from 1 species